rnacentral:rRNA from 1 species
CACGUAGGGGGCAAGCGUUGUCCGGAUUCAUUGGGCGUAAAGAGCUCGUAGGCGGCUCAGUAAGUCGGGUGUGAAACCCUCAGGCUCAACCUGGGGACGCCACUCGAUACUGCUGUGGCUAGAGUCCAGUAGAGGAGUGUGGAAUUCCCGGUGUAGCGGUGAAAUGCGCAGAUAUCAGGAAGAACACCUAUGGCGAAAGCAGCUCUCUGGGACGGUACUGACGCUGAGACGCGAAAGCGUGGGGAGCGAACAGG